ACUCCUACGGGAGGCAGCAGUGGGGAAUAUUGCACAAUGGGCGCAAGCCUGAUGCAGCCAUGCCGCGUGUAUGAAGAAGGCCUUCGGGUUGUAAAGUACUUUCAGCAGUGAGGAAGGUGGAUAUGUUAAUAGCAUAUUCAUUUGACGUUAGCUGCAGAAGAAGCACCGGCUAACUCCGUGCCAGCAGCCGCGGUAAUACGGAGGGUGCGAGCGUUAAUCGGAAUUACUGGGCUAAAGCGCAUGCAGGUGGUUUGUUAAGUCAGAUGUGAAAGCCCGGGGCUCAACCUCGGAAUUGCAUUUGAAACUGGCAAACUAGAGUACUGGUAGAGGGGGGUAGAAUUUCAGGUGUAAGCGGUGAAAUGCGUAGAGAUCUGAAGGAUACCGGUGGCGAAGGCGGCCCCCUGGACAGAUACUGACACUCAGAUGCGAAAGCGUGGGGAGCAAACAGGAUUAGAUACCAUGGUAGGCUCUGC
rnacentral:rRNA from 1 species